rnacentral:rRNA from 1 species
ACGCUCGACACCUACUGGAGGCAGCAGUGGGGAAUAUUGCACAAUGGGCGAAAGCCUGAUGCAGCAACGCCGCGUGAAGGAGGAAGGCCUUGGUCGUAAACUUCUGUCCUUGAGGAAGAAGAACUGACGGUACUCAAGGAGGAAGCCCCGGCUAACUACGUGCCAGCAGCCCGGUAAGUACUGAGCGGGCGUCGGCGAAGGACG